ensembl:lncRNA
AUGAGGACCAUCUCUAUAGAGACGCGGGAACAUGUCACUCCUGUCCCUGAAGGAAGCUGUGCAGCUCCAGUGUUUGGAGAAGUUUCGUUCACUCAUUAUGCAGCUCCAGGAAUCACGGGCCCCCUCAGGACUCCUGCUUUCCCGCUAUUUAAACAAAAACCCGACAUAGCGCAUGCUAAGAAGAACUGUUUUCCAUCUCCACUGUUCAAAUUAAAGGUGUAAAAUCCACAUAGCUG